rnacentral:rRNA from 1 species
UGCUCUAGUAACGGCGAGUGAAGCAGCAAUAGCUCAAAUUUGAAAUCUGGCGUCUUCGACGUCCGAGUUGUAAUUUGUAGAGGAUGCUUCUGAGUAACCACCGACCUAAGUUCCUUGGAACAGGACGUCAUAGAGGGUGAGAAUCCCGUAUGCGGUCGGAAAGGAGCUCUAUACGUAGCUCCUUCGACGAGUCGAGUUGUUUGGGAAUGCAGCUCUAAAUGGGAGGUAAAUUUCUUCUAAAGCUAAAUAUUGGCCAGAGACCGAUAGCACACAAGUAGAGUGAUCGAAAGAUGAAAAGCACUUUGGAAAGAGAGUUAUAAAGCACGUGAAAUUGUUAAAAGGGAAGGGAUUGCAACCAGACUUGCUCGCGGUGUUCCGCCGGUCUUCUGACCGGUCUACUCGCCGCGUUGCAGGCAAGCAUCGUCUGGAGCCGCUGGAUAAGACUUGAGGCAUGUAGCUCCAUCGGGAGUGCUAUAGCCUCUUGUGAUGCAGCGAGCGCCGGGCGAGGUCCGCGCUUCGGCUAGCAUGCUGGCGUAAUGUCAGUCAUCCGCCCCUCUAGAAACAUGUACCAAGGAGUCUAACAUCUAUGCAAGUGAUCGGGUGUCAAAACCCGCCUCGUCAUGCAAGUCAACGCAGCUAAGAACCGCCAGGUGCAUCACCUACCGAACCGCAUGCCUUCGGAUGGAUCUGAGUAACAUCUUGGUUCUGGGAACUCAAAAGAGGGGUAACUCUGAUUCAUCCGCGACAAGCCAGAGCAAACACUUCGGAAAGCCCGCAGUGGUAUUAAAGCCAAAUCGGCUGC